GCUUACGGCCAUACCACCCUGAACACGCCGAUCUCGUCAGAUUCGGAAGCUAAGCAGGGUCGGGCCUGGUUAGUACUUGGAUGGGAGACCGCCUGGGAAUACCAGGUGCUGUAAGCU
rnacentral:rRNA from 1 species